GGGCUUGGAAGGCUGACGCGCCGCGCCUAUAUUAGUGGGGUCCGGGUUCGCCCGGACUAUGGCGAUAAACGCGCCUGCAAUAAGCGGACCGGACCCGGGUGCGAUUCCCGGCGGCUCCACCAAUCUCUUCCGCGUUAUCGGCGGGACUGUGCGGGGCCGACUAGCAUCGACGGACGUGUAAAGAGGUGGCUUUCGCUCGUCCUGGCCCACCGUAUCGGGCCAUUUUCUAACUGCGAACGAUAACUUCGCUGGUGAAGUCCGCCUCGCCGCGUAAUGCGGUUCGGUUGAUUUCGAACACUUAAGUCCCCGGGGUUCAGAUCCCGGGGCGGGGCCCGGGGGUGCCUGGCAACAGAAGCCCCCACU
rnacentral:tmRNA from 1 species